UUAAGCGACUAAGCGUACACGGUGGAUGCCCUGGCAGUCAGAGGCGAUGAAGGACGUGCUAAUCUGCGAAAAGCGUCGGUAAGGUGAUAUGAACCGUUAUAACCGGCGAUGUCCGAAUGGGGAAACCCAGUGUGAUUCGUCACACUAUCGUUAACUGAAUACAUAGGUUAACGAGGCGAACCGGGGGAACUGAAACAUCUAAGUACCCCGAGGAAAAGAAAUCAACCGAGAUUCCCCCAGUAGCGGCGAGCGAACGGGGAGCAGCCCAGAGUCUGAAUCAGCUUGUGUGUUAGUGGAACGGUCUGGAAAGUCCGACGGUACAGGGUGAUAGUCCCGUACACCAAAAUGCACAGGUUGUGAACUCGAAGAGUAGGGCGGGACACGUGGUAUCCUGUCUGAAUAUGGGGGGACCAUCCUCCAAGGCUAAAUACUCCUGACUGACCGAUAGUGAACCAGUACCGUGAGGGAAAGGCGAAAAGAACCCCGGCGAGGGGAGUGAAAAAGAACCUGAAACCGUGUACGUACAAGCAGUGGGAGCACCUUCGGGUGUGACUGCGUACCUUUUGUAUAAUGGGUCAGCGACUUAUAUUCUGUAGCAAGGUUAACCGUAUAGGGGAGCCGCAGGGAAACCGAGUCUUAACUGGGCGUUAAGUUGCAGGGUAUAGACCCGAAACCCGGUGAUCUAGCCAUGGGCAGGUUGAAGGUUGGGUAACACUAACUGGAGGACCGAACCGACUAAUGUUGAAAAAUUAGCGGAUGACUUGUGGCUGGGGGGUGAAAGGCCAAUCAAACCGGGAGAUAGCUGGUUCUCCCCGAAAGCUAUUUAGGUAGCGCCUCGUGAACUCAUCUUCGGGGGUAGAGCACUGUUUCGGCUAGGGGGUCAUCCCGACUUACCAACCCGAUGCAAACUACGAAUACCGAAGAAUGUUAUCACGGGAGACACACGGCGGGUGCUAACGUCCGUCGUGAAGAGGGAAACAACCCAGACCGCCAGCUAAGGUCCCAAAGUCAUGGUUAAGUGGGAAACGAUGUGGGAAGGCACAGACAGCCAGGAUGUUGGCUUAGAAGCAGCCAUCAUUUAAAGAAAGCGUAAUAGCUCACUGGUCGAGUCGGCCUGCGCGGAAGAUGUAACGGGGCUAAACCAUGCACCGAAGCUGCGGCAGCGACACUAUGUGUUGUUGGGUAGGGGAGCGUUCUGUAAGCCUGCGAAGGUGUGCUGUGAGGCAUGCUGGAGGUAUCAGAAGUGCGAAUGCUGACAUAAGUAACGAUAAAGCGGGUGAAAAGCCCGCUCGCCGGAAGACCAAGGGUUCCUGUCCAACGUUAAUCGGGGCAGGGUGAGUCGACCCCUAAGGCGAGGCCGAAAGGCGUAGUCGAUGGGAAACAGGUUAAUAUUCCUGUACUUGGUGUUACUGCGAAGGGGGGACGGAGAAGGCUAUGUUAGCCGGGCGACGGUUGUCCCGGUUUAAGCAUGUAGGCUGGUUGUCCAGGCAAAUCCGGAUAAUCAAGGCUGAGGUGUGAUGACGAGGCACUACGGUGCUGAAGUAACAAAUGCCCUGCUUCCAGGAAAAGCCUCUAAGCAUCAGGUAACAUCAAAUCGUACCCCAAACCGACACAGGUGGUCAGGUAGAGAAUACCAAGGCGCUUGAGAGAACUCGGGUGAAGGAACUAGGCAAAAUGGUGCCGUAACUUCGGGAGAAGGCACGCUGGUGUGUAGGUGAAGCCCCUGCGGGUGGAGCUGAGACCAGUCGAAGAUACCAGCUGGCUGCAACUGUUUAUUAAAAACACAGCACUGUGCAAACACGAAAGUGGACGUAUACGGUGUGACGCCUGCCCGGUGCCGGAAGGUUAAUUGAUGGGGUUAUCCGUAAGGAGAAGCUCUUGAUCGAAGCCCCGGUAAACGGCGGCCGUAACUAUAACGGUCCUAAGGUAGCGAAAUUCCUUGUCGGGUAAGUUCCGACCUGCACGAAUGGCGUAAUGAUGGCCAGGCUGUCUCCACCCGAGACUCAGUGAAAUUGAACUCGCUGUGAAGAUGCAGUGUACCCGCGGCAAGACGGAAAGACCCCGUGAACCUUUACUAUAGCUUGACACUGAACAUUGAGCCUUGAUGUGUAGGAUAGGUGGGAGGCUUUGAAGCGUGGACGCCAGUCUGCGUGGAGCCAACCUUGAAAUACCACCCUUUAAUGUUUGAUGUUCUAACGUUGGCCCCUUAUCGGGGUUGCGGACAGUGUCUGGUGGGUAGUUUGACUGGGGCGGUCUCCUCCCAAAGCGUAACGGAGGAGCACGAAGGUUAGCUAAUCCUGGUCGGACAUCAGGAGGUUAGUGCAAUGGCAUAAGCUAGCUUGACUGCGAGCGUGACGGCGCGAGCAGGUGCGAAAGCAGGUCAUAGUGAUCCGGUGGUUCUGAAUGGAAGGGCCAUCGCUCAACGGAUAAAAGGUACUCCGGGGAUAACAGGCUGAUACCGCCCAAGAGUUCAUAUCGACGGCGGUGUUUGGCACCUCGAUGUCGGCUCAUCACAUCCUGGGGCUGAAGUAGGUCCCAAGGGUAUGGCUGUUCGCCAUUUAAAGUGGUACGCGAGCUGGGUUUAGAACGUCGUGAGACAGUUCGGUCCCUAUCUGCCGUGGGCGCUGGAGAAUUGAGGGGGGCUGCUCCUAGUACGAGAGGACCGGAGUGGACGCAUCACUGGUGUUCGGGUUGUCAUGCCAAUGGCACUGCCCGGUAGCUAAAUGCGGAAGAGAUAAGUGCUGAAAGCAUCUAAGCACGAAACUUGCCCCGAGAUGAGUUCUCCCUGAGACUUUAAGUCUCCUGAAGGAACGUUGAAGACGACGACGUUGAUAGGCCGGGUGUGUAAGCGCAGCGAUGCGUUGAGCUAACCGGUACUAAUGAACCGUGAGGCUUAACCUU
rnacentral:rRNA from 1 species